GCUCGCGGCGCGCGGCCCCGGGUUGGGGGCGGCGCGUCCAGACGAGCUCCGAACAACCCUCUGGGCGCGGCGAGCGCCAAGGAAUAGAAAGCGGAAAGGGCGGCGGCUAGCGCCCCACCCGGUGCGAGCGCGCCCCGGCCGGGGACGCAGCAUCGCGGCGGGGAUCCGCCGCCCGUCUGUGAAUUCUCUUAGACGACUCUCGGCAACGGAUAUCUCGGCUCUCGCAUCGAUGAAGAACGUAGCGAAAUGCGAUACUUGGUGUGAAUUGCAGAAUCCCGUGAACCAUCGAGUCUUUGAACGCAAGUUGCGCCCGAGGCCACUCGGCCGAGGGCACGCCUGCCUGGGCGUCACGCCACCCCAUCGCCCCCGCCGCGGCGUUCCCACGCCCGGCCGGGGAGCGGAGACUGGCCGUCCGUGCCCGAGCCCUCGGCGCGCGGUCGGCAGAAAAGGAGGACACCGUGCGGCGCGACGCGGCGUGUGGGGGUUUGAGAUGCGAUAGGUCGCCGAUCGUACGCCGCGCCCGCAUUCCGCCGCGCGCAGUGUCACCCGUGGGACCGGACCCGCCCGCAGCCGCGGGCGCUCGGACCGCGACCCCAGGUCAGGCGCGGCCACCCGCUGAAUUUAA
rnacentral:rRNA from 1 species